rnacentral:ncRNA from 2 species
UGUACGCAUGACCGGUGCCAUUUUAUGGCUGAGAUUAUACGGUUGAACUUGAUCUAGUUAAUACUAGCGCAAAGAACAUGCUAUCAUCGAUAU